CCUACGGGUGGCAGCAGUGGGGAAUAUUGGGCAAUGGAGGAAACUCUGACCCAGCAAUGCCGCGUGAAUGAAGAAGGUCUUCGGAUUGUAAAGUUCUUUAGUCAGGGAAGAAUAAAAUGACGGUACCUGAAGAAUAAGCUCCGGCUAACUACGGGCCAGCAGCCGCGGUAAUACGUAGGGAGCAAGGGUUGUUCGGAAUGACUGGGCGUAAAGGGGGGGUAGGCGGUUAUACCAGUUAGAAGUGAAAUACCCAGGGCUUAACGCGGGUGCUGCUUCUAAAACUGUAAGACUUGAGUGCAGUAGAGGUAAGUGGAAUUCCUGGUGUAGCGGUAGAAUGCGUAGAGAUUAGGAGGAACAC
rnacentral:rRNA from 1 species